GCCAGGUGCGGUGGUGCAUGCCUGUAAUCCCAGUGACUCAGGAGGCUGAGGCAGGAGGUAGCUUCAGACCAAAGCCAGCCUCAG
rnacentral:sRNA from 1 species